GCCCCGCUAGCUCAAUUGGUUAGAGCAUGCGACUUUUACGUUGCUCGAAAUAUCGCAAGGUUGCGAGUUCGACCCUCGCGCGGGGCU
rnacentral:tRNA from 2 species